GACCCGGUGGCAUAGUCGGUUAUGCGUUUGUCCAAUAGACAAAAUAUCCUCAGUUCGAGUCUGAGCCGGGUCG
rnacentral:tRNA from 1 species